rnacentral:ncRNA from 2 species
CGUUCGUUAGUGCUCCGAGCCGCGCGCGCCUGCUCCCCGGGAUUCCGGGAACGGACGCGCGGCCGAUCCCCGGAAGGGGAGACAGGGCCGGCCCCGAAAGGGACCGACCUCUCACGCUCAGAAAGGAGAACGUAUGCCGAACACGU